GCCUGGCUGGCUCAGUGAGUAGAGCAGGCGACUCUUGAUCUCAGGGUCGUGAGUUCAAACCCCAUGCUGGGCA
rnacentral:tRNA from 1 species